AGAGUUCGAUUCUGGCUCAGGAUAAACGCUGGCGGCGCACAUAAGACAUGCAAGUCGAACGGACGGAAAUUUUUUGUUUACAAAGAAUGGAAGUUAGUGGCGGACUGGUGAGUAACGCGUAAGUAACCUGCCUAUCAGAGGGGAAUAACAUUGAGAAAUCAAUGCUAAUACCGCAUAUGCUCGAAGCAUCGCAUGAUGAAGCGAGGAAAGGAGGAAUCCGCUGAUAGAUGGACUUGCGUCUGAUUAGCUAGUUGGAGUGGUAAAGGCACACCAAGGCAACGAUCAGUAGCCGAACUGAGAGGUUAAACGGCCACAUUGGGACUGAGAUACGGCCCAG
rnacentral:rRNA from 1 species